rnacentral:misc_RNA from 1 species
GAUGAAGAACGUAGCGAAAUGCGAUGAGUAAUGUGAAUUGCAGAAUUCAGUGAAUCAUCGAAUCUUUGAACGCACAUUGCGCCCCCUGGUAUUCCGGGGGGCAUGCCUGUCCGAGCGUCAUUACAACCCUCAAGCUCAGCUUGGUGUUGGGCCCCGCCGCCCCGGCGGGCCCUAAAGUCAGUGGCGGUGCCGUCCGGCUCCGAGCGUAGUAAUUCUUCUCGCUCUGGAGGUCCGGUCGUGUGCUCGCCAGCAACCCCCAAUUUUUUUCAGGUUGACCUCGGAUCAGGUAGGGAUACCCGCUGAACUUAAGCAUAUCAAUAAGCGGAGGA